GUCUCUAUGUCCCAGUGGUUAAGGAGUCCGGCUGUUAUCAGCACCUGCGAAGGUUGCUUGCUACCGGAAGAUCGGUGGUUCGAUCCCACCUAGGGACG
rfam:Talaromyces stipitatus ATCC 10500 scf_1105507295541 genomic scaffold, whole genome shotgun sequence.